GACGAACGCUGGCGGCGUGCUUAACACAUGCAAGUCGAACGGUGAAGGGACCAGCUUGCUGGUUCUGGAUGAGUGGCGAACGGGUGAGUAACACGUGAGUAACCUGCCCCCUUCUGCUGGAUAACCGCAUGAAAGGGUGGCUAAUACGGGAUAUUCUGGGUCUGUCGCAUGGCGGGCCCGGGAAAGAUAUUGCUUCGGUGGGGGAUGGGCUCGCGGCCUAUCAGCUUGUUGGUGGGGUGAUGGCCUGCCAAGGCGGGGACGGGUAGCCGGCCUGCGAGGGGGGACGGUGACAGUGGGACUGGGACACGGCCCAAACUGCUACGGGAGGCAGCAGUGGGGGAUAUUGCACAGUGGGCGCAAGCCUGAUGCAGCGACGCCGCGUGAGGGAUGGCGGCCUUCGGGUUGUAAGCCUCUUUCGCCAGUGAAGCAGGCCUGCUCCUUGUGGGUGGGUUGACGGUAGCUGGAUAAGAAGCGCCGGCUAACUACGUG
rnacentral:rRNA from 1 species